GACGAACGCUGGCGGCGUGCUUAACACAUGCAAGUCGAACGGAAAGGCCCUGCUUUUGUUGGGUGCUAGAGGCGCAAACGUGUGAAUAACACCGGAAUAACCUGCGCUGUACGUGGGGAUAACUUCAGAAAACUGGUGCUAAUACCUGCUAGGUGCUCCUGCUACCUGGGGGUGUUUGGAAAGCUUCGGCGGUUGGGGAUGGACGCGCGGCUUAUCAGCUUGUUGGUGGGGUAGUGGCUUACCAAGGCGUUGACGGGUAGCCGGCCUGAGAGGGUGACCGGCCACAUUGGGACUGAGAUACGGCCCAGACUCCUACGGGAGGCAGCAGUGGGGAAUAUUGCACAAUGGGCGGAAGCCUGAUGCAGCAACGCCGCGUGCGGGAUGACGGCCUUCGGGUUGUAAACCGCUUUCGCCUGUGACGAAGCGUGAGUGACGGUAAUGGGUAAAGAAGCACCGGCUAACUACGUG
rnacentral:rRNA from 1 species